rnacentral:rRNA from 1 species
GAUGAACGCUGGCGGCGUGCCUAAUACAUGCAAGUCGAGCGAACAGAUAAGGAGCUUGCUCCUUUGACGUUAGCGGCGGACGGGUGAGUAACACGUGGGUAACCUACCUAUAAGACUGGGAUAACUUCGGGAAACCGGAGCUAAUACCGGAUAACAUUUGGAACCGCAUGGUUCUAAAGUGAAAGAUGGUUUUGCUAUCACUUAUAGAUGGACCCGCGCCGUAUUAGCUAGUUGGUAAGGUAACGGCUUACCAAGGCGACGAUACGUAGCCGACCUGAGAGGGUGAUCGGCCACACUGGAACUGAGACACGGUCCAGACUCCUACGGGAGGCAGCAGUAGGGAAUCUUCCGCAAUGGGCGAAAGCCUGACGGAGCAACGCCGCGUGAGUGAUGAAGGCUUUCGGCUCGUAAAACUCUGUUAUUAGGGAAGAACAAACGUGUAAGUAACUGUGCACGUCUUGACGGUACCUAAUCAGAAAGCCACGGCUAACUACGUG